rnacentral:misc_RNA from 1 species
GAUGAAGAACGCAGUGAAAUGCGAUACGUAGUGUGAAUUGCAGAAUUCAGUGAAUCAUCGAAUCUUUGAACGCACAUUGCACCUCUCGGUAUUCCGGGAGGUAUGCCUGUUCGAGCGUCAUUUGUACCCUCAAGCUCUGCUUGGUGUUGGGUGUUUGUUCCGCCUCUGUGUGUGAACUCGCCUCAAAACAAUUGGCAGCCGGCGUACUUGUUUCGGAGCGCAGCACAUUUUGCGAUCCAGAUCAACGUACAGCGGCAUCCAAGAAGCCUUAUUUAACGCUCUUGACCUCGGAUCAGGUAGGGAUACCCGCUGAACUUAAGCAUAUUCAAUAAGCGGAGGA